GUAAUACAUCGGAACGUACCCAGUAGCGGGGGAUAGCCCGGCGAAAGCCGGAUUAAUACCGCAUACGCCCUACGGGGGAAAGGGGGGGAUCGCAAGACCUCUCACUAUUGGAGCGGCCGAUGGCUGAUUAGCUAGUUGGUGGGGUAAAGGCCUACCAAGGCAACGAUCAGUAGCUGGUCUGAGAGGACGACCAGCCACACUGGGACUGGGACACGGCCCAGACUCCUACGGGAGGCAGCAGUGGGGAAUUUUGGACAAUGGGCGAAAGCCUGAUCCAGCAAUGCCGCGUGUGCGAAGAAGGCCUUCGGGUUGUAAAGCACUUUUGUCAGGGAAGAAAUCGUUCGGGCUAAUACCUCGGGCAGUUGACGGUACCUGAAGAAUAAGCACCGGCUAACUACGUGCCAGCAGCCGCGGUAAUACGUAGGGUGCAAGCGUUAAUCGGAAUUACUGGGCGUAAAGCGUGCGCAGGUGGUUCGUUAAGACAGUUGUGAAAUCCCCGGGCUUAACCUGGGAACUGCAAUUGUGACUGGCGGACUAGAGUUUGGCAGAGGGGGGUGGAAUUCCUGGUGUAGCAGUGAAAUGCGUAGAUAUCAGGAGGAACACCGAUGGCGAAGGCAGCCCCCUGGGCCAUGACUGACACUCAUGCA
rnacentral:rRNA from 1 species